CAUCAAUCAAUGUAUACAAUAAAACUCUUCCACCAAGCCAAUUUAUAAAACGGCUUACUAAUGGCUUCAGACACAUAUCACUGUUCAUAAGCCAAUUUGAUUAAAAUAAUAUAAAUCUUGGGCUUCUAUUUGGCUAACUUCAUUCAAUGCAUGUAUGUGGCUGUGUGCACGGCUUGGUUUGAGACUUUCAAAAUUUAAAUUUUAAACCUCCCGCCAUAAAUGUUUGUCCUGUCAGAGGAUUUUCCGGUGCCACUAAGAUCAAGAAUUAAAAAAAAAAGAAAAAGAAACUUUCGGACUGUUCUUCUAUCAGUGCCUUUAUGCUUCUUCUUCUUUUCUCUCCUACUGUCUCCGUCCUCCUCACCUCAGAUUCAAAUCUCUCUGGCCCAGCAUUAGAAGGUGAUGUAAAUUGGUGGCUUGGCACCCCGUAAGUGUGUGGAUAGUGUGGGGAUAUGCCAUCCAUGGUGGUGCCGAAAAAGCAAUGGAAUGGCACGUGGUGGCCGGGAACUUUUACCAAAUCACUGUUUCAACCUAAAGAAAGCCUCUGAUGUUGCUCGGGGGAUACACUAGGAGUAGAGUUUCAUGGGUUUUACUAAAAGGGAGAGAUCAAAUCAAAUGAAAAGGUGCAGAAAAACAACCCAUAGAGUCAAAAAUAGUGAGCAAGACAUAUACCCAGGCAAAUAACGCGGCAAAGCCCAUUGCUUUCUACUUCACUGAGAAGAUGAACGGUGGCCCAUCUGUUUUUACUAAUGCUCCCAUCACAAGGACUUUCAUUAUCACCUUGACGCUUUUCACUAUCUUCUUCGAGAUCAAAGAUCGUUAUAACACACUGGGAUUGUCUUA